rnacentral:rRNA from 1 species
AAUAGAUACCCAGGUAGUCCACGCCGUAAACGGUGGGCACUAGGUGUGGGGACCAUUCCACGGUCUCUGCGCCGCAGCUAACGCAUUAAGUGCCCCGCCUGGGGAGUACGGCCGCAAGGCUAAAACUCAAAGGAAUUGACGGGGGGCCCGCACAAGCGGCGGAGCAUGCGGCUUAAUUCGAAGCAACGCGAAGAACCUUACCUAGGCUUGACAUGCAGGGAAAUCUGGCAGAGAUGCCAGGUCCUUCGGGGCCUUGCACAGGUGGUGCAUGGCUGUCGUCAGCUCGUGUCGUGAGAUGUUGGGUUAAGUCCCGCAACGAGCGCAACCCUCGUUCUAUGUUGCCAGCGGUUCGGCCGGGGACUCAUAGAAGACUGCCGGGGUCAACUCGGAGGAAGGUGGGGAUGACGUCAAGUCAUCAUGCCCCUUAUGUCUAGGGCUGCACGCAUGCUACAAUGGUCGGUACAAAGGGCUGCAAUACCGCAAGGUGGGCGAAUCCCAAAAGCCGGCUCAGUUCGGAUUGGGU